rnacentral:rRNA from 1 species
CCUACGGGAGACAGCAGUGAGGAAUAUUGGUCAAUGGACGAGAGUCUGAACCAGCCAAGUAGCGUGAAGGAUGACUGCCCUAUGGGUUGUAAACUUCUUUUAUAUGGGAAUAAAGUGUUCCACGUGUGGGAUUUUGUAUGUACCAUAUGAAUAAGGAUCGGCUAACUCCGUGCCAGCAGCCGCGGUAAUACGGAGGAUCCGAGCGUUAUCCGGAUUUAUUGGGUUUAAAGGGAGCGUAGGUGGAUUGUUAAGUCAGUUGUGAAAGUUUGCGGCUCAACCGUAAAAUUGCAGUUGAAACUGGCAGUCUUGAGUACAGUAGAGGUGGGCGGAAUUCGUGGUGUAGCGGUGAAAUGCUUAGAUAUCACGAAGAACUCCGAUUGCGAAGGCAGUUCACUGGACUGCAACUGACACUGAGGCUCGAAAGUGUGGGUAUCAAACAGGAUUAGAUACCCUUGUAGUC